GGGCCCGCACAAGCGGUGGAGCAUGUGGUUUAAUUCGAUGAUACGCGAGGAACCUUACCAGGGCUUAAAUGUAGUCUGACAGAUUUGGAAACAGAUUUUCUUCGGACAGAUUACAAGGUGCUGCAUGGUUGUCGUCAGCUCGUGCCGUGAGAUGUUGGGUUAAGUCCCGCAACGAGCGCAACCCACGUCUUUAGUUGCCAGCAUUUAGUUGGGCACUCUAGAGAGACUGCCGGUGAUAAACCGGAGAAGGUGUGGAUGACGUCAAGUCAUCAUGCCCCUUACAUCUGGGCUACACACGUACUACAAUGCUACGGACAAAGGGCUGCAAGUUCGCGAGGACAAGCAAAUCCCAUAAACGUGGCUCAG
rnacentral:rRNA from 1 species